AUUGAACGCUGGCGGCAGGCCUAACACAUGCAAGUCGAGCGGAGCGGCGGACGGGCGAGUAAUGCCUAGGAAUCCGCCUGGUAGUGGGGGGUAACGUCCGGCAACGGGCGCUAAUACCGCAUACUAUCAGAUGAGCCUAGGUCGGAUUAGCUAGUUGGUGGGGUAAAGUCCUACCAAGGCGACGAUCCUUAACUGGUCUGAGAGAAUGAUCAGUCACACUGGAACGGAGACACGGUCCAGACUCCGACGGGAGGCAGCAGUGGGGAAUAGUGGACAAUGGGCGAAAGCCUGAUGCAGCCAUGCCGGGUGUAUGAAGAAGGCCUUAGGGUUGUAAAGUACUUUCAGCGGGGAGGCGUUGCCCGCAGAAGAAGCACCGGCUAACUCCGUGCCAGCCGCCGCGGUAAUUC
rnacentral:rRNA from 1 species